GGACACUUCAUCACAGAGUGCACCAAGGCUGAAGACACUUAAGACCUCACAUUCAUUGAGUCUGUCUACGGUUAUUGCAACAUCCUGGCUGGUUGACUGGACCUGCAUGCUGCAGUGAGGGUGAGAUGGUUGCCUUGCCAAUGUUACUGCUGCUAUUGCUCCUGCUUUGCCAUCCUGGGGGUCUGUGGUCCCUAUCAGGUGAUAUGAACAAAGCCAUUACUUUUGACUUUCGAUUAAAUCGAAUGCAAACAAACUUGAUGAAGAGUGUGACAAAAGAAGAACUACUGUGCAGGUGGGAGAUGAUCUACUUCUAAGCCUUACGUUACAGAUUAGUUGUGGGCUUAUUUACAGAGGAUGCAUGGUAGCUGCAAAGUGUGAUAUAUCCCUUAGUGUAUUCAACUACAAACAUUUGGAUUGGGAUUGCAGACUUACUUCUGUCUAAAACUGUCUUUUCUGUUAGAUGCAUCUGCAGCAUCUCCAUCUUCCUAGAGUCAAUUUGAUGGCCUAAUUCUGUGCUCCUCUUAUAUGAGGAGGUCUAUAGCAGGAGCUGGCUGAACUAAUUGCUUGAAAAGGUGAUACAGAAGUUGAAAUGCUGGUAGUCUUUUGCAAGGUCAGCAUUUUCCUCUUGUAAUGAGUGAUUCUUCAGACUUAAAUGGGACAAAGCUCUUCUGCAAAAGUUGUUUCUCCCUGUUCUGGGGCUC
rnacentral:lncRNA from 1 species